GACAGAGGUGCCGAGCGUUAGGCGGAAUCACUGGGCUUAAAGCGUGUGUAGGCGGGUCCGUAAGUACCUUGUGAAAUCCCAUGGCUCAACCAUGGAACUGCUUGGUAUACUACGGAUCUUGAGCCACCUAGGGGCAAGUGGAACAAACGGUGGAGCGGUGAAAUGCGUAGAUAUCGUUUGGAACGCCAAUGGUGAAAACAACUUGCUGGGGGUGUGCUGACGCUGAGACACGAAAGCCAGGGGAGCAAACGGG
rnacentral:rRNA from 1 species